AUCCAGAUGACGGGUCCAAAAUAGGACAAAAUGUGCAUCCUGGAU
rfam:Trichobilharzia regenti genome assembly, scaffold: TRE_scaffold0002433